rnacentral:rRNA from 1 species
GGGCCCGCACAAGCGGUGGAGCAUGUGGUUUAAUUCGAUGCAACGCGAAGAACCUUACCUACACUUGACAUCCAGAGAACUUUCUAGAGAUAGAUUGGUGCCUUCGGGAACUCUCAGACAGGUGCUGCAUGGCUGUCGUCAGCUCGUGUUGUGAAAUGUUGGGUUAAGUCCCGCAACGAGCGCAACCCUUAUCCUUGUUUGCCAGCGAGUAAUGUCGGGAACUCCAGGGAGACUGCCGGUGAUAAACCGGAGGAAGGUGGGGACGACGUCAAGUCAUCAUGGCCCUUACGAGUAGGGCUACACACGUGCUACAAUGGCGCAUACAGAGGGCAGCCAACUUGCGAAAGUGAGCGAAUCCCAAAAAGUGCGUCGUAGUCCGGAUUGGAGUCUGCAACUCGACUCCAUGAAGUCGGAAUCGCUAGUAAUCG